rnacentral:ncRNA from 1 species
UUCCCCCGGUGCCUGGGACCCGAGUUUGUGGGAUAAGGCAUCACCUCCCUGUUGUACUGGCCCGGACCUCGUGUCCGGGCUUUUUU